rnacentral:rRNA from 1 species
UAUCUCUGUAGAGUCUGCAUAUCAAUAAGCGGAGGAAAAGAAACUAACUAGGAUUCCCUCAGUAACGGCGAGUGAAGCGGGAAGAGCUCAAAUUUGAAAUCUUCAAGGUUCUACCUUGACGAAUUGUAGUUUAAAGAAGUGUUUUCUGUUGGUGUUUUGGUAAAAGUUCUUUGGAAUAGGACAUCAUAGAGGGUGAGAAUCCCGUAUUUGACCAUUUACUUUCAGCGUUGUGAUACACUUUUAAAGAGUCGGAUUGUUUGGGAAUGCAGUCCAAAAUGGGUGGUAAAUUUCAUCUAAAGCUAAAUACUGGCGAGAGACCGAUAGCGAACAGGUACCGUGAGGGAAAGAUGAAAAGAACUUUGAAAAGAGAGUUAAACAGUACGUGAAAUUGUCAAAAGGGAAGCGUUUGACACCAGUGUUGUUUUCUCGAAAAUCAAUUAAAAAAGUCAGGAUUUUGUAUUGUAAUUGACCUUUAUCAGCUUACUGCUACUCUUUUCUUGUCUUUUUUAAUGCACUUUUCGUUUAACAAGUCAACAUCAAUUUCUUUUGUUAUAAAAGAGGUCAUUGGAAGGUGGCUUUCUUUUCGGAGAAAGUGUUUAUAGCCUUUGGCCUCUGCAAUCGGAGAGAUUGAGGUCUGCAGCGUAGAUCCUUCGGGGUUAGAUACAUUUGUGCUAAGUUAUAGCCUUUCAUAGACAACUUGUUGACUAUGAUCAGUCAUGUAGCUUACUCGCUUAUGCUAUUUUACCUACGCUUAGGAUGUUGACGAUCAGCUGAGCGCG